UACGGAGGGUGCGAGCGUUGUCCGGAAUCACUGGGCGUAAAGGGCGCGUAGGCGGCCUGAUAAGUAGGGGGUGAAAUCCUGCGGCUUAACCGCAGGGCUGCCUUCUAAACUGUCAGGCUGGAGCACAGUAGAGGCAGGUGGAAUUCCCGGUGUAGCGGUGGAAUGCGUAGAGAUCGGGAAGAACACCGGAGGCGAAGGCGGCUUGCUGGGCGUGAUCUGACGCUGAGGCGCGAAAGCGUGGGGGAGCGAACAGG
rnacentral:rRNA from 1 species